rnacentral:rRNA from 1 species
AGAGUUUGAUCCUGGCUCAGGAUGAACGCUAGCGGCAGGCUUAACACAUGCAAGUCGAGGGGCAGCACGGGUAGCAGUACCUGGUGGCGACCGGCGCAAGGGUGCGUAACGCGUGAGCAACAUGCCCUAUACAGGGGGAUAAACCAGGGAAACUUGGACUAAUACCCCAUAGCAUUUAUUUAUGGCAUCAUGAAUAAAUUAAAGCUUCGGUGGUAUAGGAUUGGCUCGCGUGACAUUAGCUAGAUGGUGAGGUAACGGCUCACCAUGGCGACGAUGUCUAGGGGUUCUGAGAGGAAGGCCCCCCACACUGGGACUGAGACACGGCCCAGACUCCUACGGGAGGCAGCAGUGAGGAAUAUUGGACAAUGGAUGGAAAUCUGAUCCAGCCAUGCCGCGUGCAGGAAGACGGCCCUAUGGGUUGUAAACUGCUUUUAUACGGGAGCAAUAAGGUCUACGUGUAGACUGAUGAGAGUACCGUAUGAAUAAGCAUCGGCUAACUCCGUGCCAGCAGCCGCGGUAAUACGGAGGAUGCGAGCGUUAUCCGGAUUUAUUGGGUUUAAAGGGUGCGUAGGCGGCCUUGUAAGUCAGCGGUGAAAUUUUGCAGCUUAACUGUAGAAGUGCCGUUGAUACUGUGAGGCUAGGAUUUGGUUGCUGUGGGUGGAAUGUGUGGUGUAGCGGUGAAAUGCUUAGAGAUCACACA